rnacentral:rRNA from 1 species
AACGUAGGAGACAAACGUUAUCCGGAGUUACUGGGCGUAAAGGGCGUGUAGGUGGUUGCGUAAGUCUGGCGUGAAAUUUUUCGGCUUAACCGGGAAAGGUCGUCGGAUACUGCGUAGCUAGAGGACGGUAGAGGCGUGUGGAAUUCCGGGUGUAGUGGUGAAAUGCGUAGAGAUCCGGAGGAACACCAGUGGCGAAGGCGACACGCUGGGCCGUACCUGACACUGAGGCACGAAGGCCAGGGGAGCAAACGGG